ACGUCCUUUCCUGGACAAUCCAAGAGACCUGUUUACUUCCUCAUUUAAGCUAAAGUUUUAGGUUUUGGUUCACCAUUUUGUAGAAUAAAACUAAAUAACAUUCAAUUUUUUUAGCAAAAUAGUUAUUAUUUUGCAUUCUAGAUUUUGAUCUCAAAAGACAAAAAAAAAAAGCCUUCACUACCCCACGGCCUCACCUAACUCUGAAAAUUUUGAUAUUUUAGAUGGAACUAAACAUAAUUUUGAAAUUUUAGAUAUUUUAUAUUUCAUUGUUCUAAAACAAUUGGUAUUUUACAUUUUGUAUUUGAUGGAAUCUAAAUAUAACCCUUGUAGUAGUUUUGAACGACGCCCCCGCGCUUCUACCCACCAGCCACCACU
rnacentral:lncRNA from 1 species